rnacentral:rRNA from 1 species
UACAGAGGGGGCAAGCGUUGUUCGGAAUUACUGGGCGUAAAGGGCGCGUAGGCGGCCUGCUAAGUCGAACGUGAAAUCCCUGGGCUCAACCCAGGAACUGCGUCCGAUACUGGUUGGCUUGAAUCCGGGAGAGGGAUGCGGAAUUCCAGGUGUAGCGGUGAAAUGCGUAGAUAUCUGGAGGAACACCGGUGGCGAAGGCGGCAUCCUGGACCGGCAUUGACGCUGAGGCGCGAAAGCGUGGGGAGCGAACAGG